AUGCUCGCCUUGGCAGCACUACUAAAACUGGAACAAUACAAAGAAGAUCAGCAUGGCCCUUGCACAAGGAUGACAUGAAAAUUUGUGAAGUGUUCCAUAUUUUU